rnacentral:rRNA from 1 species
UACGUAGGGGGCAAGCGUUGUCCGGAUUUAUUGGGCGUAAAGGGCGCGUAGGCGGCCACCGCAAGUCAGUUGUGAAAUCUCUGGGCUUAACCCAGAAAGGUCAACUGAUACUGCGGGGCUAGAGUGCAGAAGGGGCAACUGGAAUUCUCGGUGUAGCGGUGAAAUGCGUAGAUAUCGAGAGGAACACCUGCGGCGAAGGCGGGUUGCUGGGCUGACACUGACGCUGAGGCGCGAAAGCUAGGGGAGCGAACGGG